rnacentral:misc_RNA from 1 species
AACAUCGUGGGCUCCGUCGUCCGAUAACAGCUUCCAGUCAAGGGACUAGGUUCCUUUAUACUUUUGAAACUAAUUUUAUCAUAAAUAGUUACUGACAGUAAGCUAGAUUAGUUUGCCAUGGCACCAUCCAACAUAGCGCCCUUGGAGAAUAUAUUGCAGAACUGCAUUGAAAAUCUCUUGUUAACUGAACAGCAGCUGCGAGAUAAAGGAGAUGAACAUCGAGAUGAAGAAAACUUUGAUUUGGAAAAAUUUUGGAAAGAUAUUAAUGUAAUAUCUCAAAAGUUAUCCUUUGAAUGCAGCAAAAUUUGUAUCUGCUUUAGCCAGUAUCCUGUACCAUCAGCCAGUGAAACAAGCAGUCUUAUGACUUCCCUAGAACAAGCUGUUUUGGCAUUGGUGUCUGUUUGUUAUAGUCUGCCGCCAACCUAUGGGCGCUGUCUUCGUGCCAAUGUUCAGUAUGGGAUUGUUAGAGCCAUUCAGUCUACGCGACAGCUUUUGAAAAUUAUAAAGGAUGAAGGUGGCGAGGUUAUGGCUGCCAGGUACCGCCAGUCUACAGGCAUUGUGUGGCAAGGGUGUGAGAAGUUGGAAAAAUGUCCACGUGAUAACAAAGCUACUGUUUUAAUGGAGCUUAAAGGGCAAAAUACUUUGGUAUCUGAUGCAUUUAAUGAAAUUACGGAGGCUCUAAAGGGAGAUGGAAGUGGAUGGAGCUGUCUUGGAGAUGAAGAGGAGGAGAUGGAAGAGGAAGAGGAAGAGAAGUGGUCUAAUGAAGACAAAGAUCUUAUUGGUCCUUCUGUCAAUCUUAUCAAAGCUGCUAAGAUUCUGUACAAGAGAGUCAUAGAUGCUGUCGAGAAGAAUGGUUCCAGUGACACUUGUCAGGCAAUAAAGGAACUUGACCAGCUGCAUGACGACUGCAAGAUGGUCUCAAAGAUAAUAGACACACUCAUAUUGGAGUUGUAUCCUCCACUCAAUAUAGUUAAUAUGGAAGAACAGUCACACCAUCUAGCAACCCUCUUGAAGACUGCUGUGAAGACAUGUGCUCAGACCCAUAUAGCGACAGAGGCCGAGCAGCCACAGCUUGAAUUCAUCCACAAGGCCAUAGAUCACAAUCUGGACCGCAUGAAAGAAAAACUCAGCCAACGAUAAUCAUAGCCACUAGCUUUGCAUAUUGUUGAAAUUGGUCUAGGUUUACUGACAUGAUAUAAUGUGAAUAUUGUUGGUAGAGUGAUAUUAUUUGUCAAUACAUGUGGGAGGUGUGAAAGAGGAAAGAAGAGAAAUGUAUUUGUUAAAAGCUACAUCUCAGCGAGUUGAGCCAAGAACUUAUUAUUUGUUAUUCUGUUAUACAUGACCAAAUUUUUCAUAUUAUUUUAAGUAUACUUUUAUUCCAUGAAACGCAUGAAAUGCCUUACACAUAUUUAUGCCAAAAAAAUGCUAAAGCCAGUUUAAAAAUAAUACUUUUUUGCUUUACUUUUUUUAGUUUUCAAUUUUUUGUAAUGAUCAUUGUCUAUAUGGGUCAUUUUAUUUUUGGACUAUACCUAUUGUGUUGACCAUAUAUGCUCAGUAUUGGUAUAAACCAUUGGUUUGAGGGGAGCAUUAUUUUCUCAUUUUGAUCACUAUACUUCUUUAUUUACUUAGAUCUUGCUUCAGUUACAAAGGUCUUUUAAGGGUCUUUUUUUGCCAGUUUUAUGGAAUACUUGUUUUUUAUUGAGUCAUUUUGUGCUGGUGUUUAUUGAGACAAAAACCCACAAAUUUAUAUUUAUGUAAGGGAAAUUAAAAAUGAUAUCCCCAAAUAC